rnacentral:rRNA from 1 species
AUUGAACGCUGGCGGCAUGCCUUACACAUGCAAGUCGAACGGUAACGGGCCUUCGGGUGCCGACGAGUGGCGAACGGGUGAGUAAUGUAUCGGAACGUGCCCAGUAGGGGGGGAUAGCCCGGCGAAAGCCGGAUUAAUACCGCAUACGACCUACGGGUGAAAGGGGGGGAUCGCAAGACCUCUCGCUAUUGGAGCGGCCGAUAUCAGAUUAGGUAGUUGGUGGGGUAAAGGCCUACCAAGCCUGCGAUCUGUAGUUGGUCUGAGAGGACGACCAGCCACACUGGGACUGAGACACGGCCCAGACUACUACGGGAGGCAGCAGUGGGGAAUUUUGGACAAUGGGGGCAACCCUGAUCCAGCAAUGCCGCGUGCAGGAAGCAGGCCUUCGGGUUGUAAACUGCUUUUGUCAGGGAAGAAAUCCUCUGGGUUAAUACCUCGGGGGGAUGACGGUACCUGAAGAAUAAGCACCGGCUAACUACGUGCCAGCCGCCGCCGUAACAC